UACGAAGGGGGCUAGCGUUGCUCGGAAUCACUGGGCGUAAAGGGUGCGUAGGCGGGUCUUUUAAGUCAGGGGUGAAAUCCUGGAGCUCAACUCCAGAACUGCCUUUGAUACUGAGGAUCUUGAGUUCGGGGAGAGGUGAGUGGAACUGCGAGUCGUAGAGGUGAAAUUCGUAGAUAUUCGCAAGAACACCAGUGGCGGAAGGCG
rnacentral:rRNA from 1 species